rnacentral:rRNA from 1 species
CACGUAGGGGGCGAGCGUUGUCCGGAUUUAUUGGGCGUAAAGAGCUCGUAGGCGGCUCAGUAAGUCAGGUGUGAAAACUCCAGGCUCAACCUGGAGACGCCAACCUGAUAGCUGCUGUGGCUAGAGUCCGGUAGGGGAGCAUGGAAUUCCUGGUGUAGCGGUGAAAUGCGCAGAUAUCAGGAGGAACACCAGUGGCGAAGGCGGUGCUCUGGGCCGGAACUGACGCUGAGGAGCGAAAGCGUGGGGAGCAAACAGG